rnacentral:rRNA from 1 species
GUCGAGAAUUUUUCACAAUGGGCGAAAGCCUGAUGGAGCGACGCCGCGUGGGGGAUGAAUGGCUUCGGCCCGUAAACCCCUGUCAUUUGCGAGCAAUGCCUUUCCGUUAAUACCGGGGAGGUUGAUCGUAGCGAAAGAGGAAGGGACGGCUAACUCUGUGCCAGCAGCCGCGGUAAUACAGAGGUCCCAAGCGUUGUUCGGAUUCACUGGGCGUAAAGGGUGCGUAGGUGGCGAGGUAAGUUCGAUGUGAAAUCUCCGGGCUCAACCCGGAAACUGCAUUGAAUACUAUCUUGCUCGAGGUUUGCAGGGGGGACUGGAAUUCUCGGUGUAGCAGUGAAAUGCGUAGAUAUCGAGAGGAACACCAGUGGCGAAGGCGAGUCCCUGGACAACACCUGACACUGAGGCACGAAAGCUAGGGGAGCAAACAGGAUUAGAAACCCUAGUAGUCC